GAUGAACGCUGGCGGCGUGCCUAAUACAUGCAAGUCGAGCGAACAGACGAGGAGCUUGCUCCUCUGACGUUAGCGGCGGACGGGUGAGUAACACGUGGAUAACCUACCUAUAAGACUGGGAUAACUUCGGGAAACCGGAGCUAAUACCGGAUAAUAUAUUGAACCGCAUGGUUCAAUAGUGAAAGACGGUUUUGCUGGAUGUUAUAGCUGGAUACGCGCCGCAUUAUCUAGUUGGUAAGGUAACGGCUUACCAAGGCAACGAUGCGUAGCCGACCUGAGAGGGUGAUAGGCCACAUUGGAACUGAGACACGGUCCAGACUCCUACGGGAGGCAGCAGAAGGGAAUCUUCCGCAAUGGGCGAAAGCCUGACGGAGUAGCGCGGCGUGAGUUGUGAAGGUCUUCGGAUCGUAAAACUCUGUUAUUAGGGAAGAACAACUGUGUAAGUAAAUAUGCACGUCUUGACGGUACCUAAUCAGAAAGCAACGGCUAACUACGUG
rnacentral:rRNA from 1 species